UGGUCCAGUUCUGUGUGCGUAGUUUGCAGAUUCAGCAAAAAUGAGCAAAGAAACAGAUCUAACACUCUAGUAACUGAUUAUUUAGAUGUGUUGACUCAGUCGCUGAUUUAAUUUCAUCCCUUUUUGCUCUCAGCGAUCUAAAAGCUGGAAACAUUCUUCUUGGAGAUGAUGGCUCUGUGCAGAUCGCUGACUUCGGCGUGAGUGCCUUUCUUGCAACGGGAGGAGACAUGACGAGGAAUAAAGUUCGGAAGGGGACGGUUUGUUGGGACGCCAUGCUGGAUGGCCCCAGAGGUCAUGGAGCAGGUUCGUGGCUACGACUUCAAAGCAGACAUCUGGAGUUUUGGAAUAACAGCUAUUGAACUGGCCACAGGGGCUGCGCCGUAUCACAAAUACCCACCAAUGAAGGUAUGAAUGCUUAACAAUAUUUUACACUAUUAAGUUGUUGUCAUUUUCUAUAGUUGUCUUAUAGGAUAUGGCAAACCUCUUUAAAAAGCCUAGAAACGAAUCCGAUGCGCCAGAGUUCUUGUCCCCUCCUGGUUUCGACUAAGCAAACGGGUACAGAGCCGCUCACUCAAAUACUUCAUCUUUCAUCUGGAACAAGUAAUUCAACCAGCAACUGAUGUAAGGAGGAGCUUCUUGUUUUUUUAAACAG